GCCAGUGUGGUGUAGUGGUUAGAAUGUUGGACUAGGACUUGGGAGGCCUGAGUUCAAAUCCCAUUUCUGAUC